rnacentral:rRNA from 1 species
AUUGAACGCUGGCGGCAGGCCUAACACAUGCAAGUCGAGCGAGCGGCGGACGGGGGAGAAAUGUAUGGGGACUGCCCGAUAGAGGGGGAUAACAACUGGAAACGGUAGCUAAUACCGCAUACUAUCGGAGAAACCAUAUGGGAUUAGCUAGUAGGUGAGGUAAUGGCUCACAUAGGCGACGAUCCCUAGCUGGUCUGAGAGGAUGAUCAGCCACACUGGGAAUGAGACACGGCCCCACCUCCUACGGAGGCGGCAUUGGGGAAUAUGGCACACUGGGGGCAAGCCUGUUGCGGCCAUGCCGCGGGUAUGAAGAAGGCCCGAGGGUUGUAAAAUGCUGUCCGUCGGAAUGCGUUACCUGCAGAAGAAGCACCGGCUAACUCCGUGCCAGCCGCCGCGGUAAUAC